UCCAUCGUGCCAACAUACUUUGAAGGCUGAGCUGGAGCGGCCCGGCGGUUUUUUGCAACUGGAGCGACAAUUCCGCCGGUGCACAGAAGGCAUUAGUAAGGAACUUCCAGAUCGAAGAGUCCAAGAGUUGAUUGCACAGGAAAUUAAUUACAAGCGUGCGUUACCAAAGACGUAUGCACAGUACGCCAGGAGGAAGCUCCAGGUUGCAGAAGUCUUGGGAAUCAUUCCCAGGGCCGAGAUACCAGCGUAGCUGUGUUUGUUUGUUGCUGGCGUCCGUGGUGAUCUCUUGGCAUUA